UAGCAGCAGGCGCGAAACUUUCCCACUCGAGACUUUCGGAGGAGGUAAUGACCAGUUUCAUGUAAAGCUUAUGCUUUUGUGAAUAGGAUCGCACUUUUCCAGUGCGGUGAAACCUAGCAGAGGGCCAGUCUGGUGCCAGCAGCUGCGGUAAUUCCAGCUCUGCGAGUUUGCUCCCAU
rnacentral:rRNA from 1 species